UGAAAACACUCCUCUCCGAUUUCUUCUAAGAUUGUGGUCAUUUUGAAUAAGAAUGGUUAAAUUACGAUAACGAGACUGAAACGAAACGAAGAUUAAUUUGACUAUUUUCUUUUUGUGGUUGGUGAGUACAUGACAACAGUCAUGUUCGUGUCACUUGAACCAGCACUUCCCGUUCUAUUCAUUACAUAAAGUGCUUCGUCGAAAGUAAAGUUUAAAUUGAUUAAUGGCCUGAAGAUGUUUGGUUCCAUGUUGACAAGCUAUAUCAUCAGACCAUGUUUACACACAACUACACAAGGGUCAAGUAAUUGAUGAUAUUACAGCAGCAACUUUGGAAGAUGCAGCACAGUAUUGUAAAGCAAACAGCAUCCAAGUGAAUAAUACGAACAACAUUGAUGUUUUUUCACCCUGUGGUCUAAUUAGAUAAAGACUCCUGGUUCGCAAGAUUAGGGUGGAGAAAAGAAUUACUGAAAUUGUAAACCGUCUCAACAUAACCAAAGUGGAUUCAAUGUUUGAAAGACAACAGAGAGACUAUGCAGAAAGAGACGACAAGAAGACUCCUUAAAUAACGAAAAGAAAGGGAGAGAAGUAGAAGAGCGAAAACAGGAUAAAGCUGAACUAAGGAGCUACGACCGUUUGCUGAAGCAUAGAAACAUGAAGACCAACACAGAUGAUGAUGGAAACGAUUCCGAUGACUUCAUGUAUAGAGAGUAGCUUAUACGUUAACAACCAGCCGAGGGAAUGCAAACUCGAUUACAAAAUGAUCAGCCUUUUCGUAUUAAGUAUAUGUGCUAUUAAAAUAUCCAUCGCACUUGACUCGAGUUUUCUCCGGUUUUCUCUUUGUCAAUAAAAAUGUGAAAAUCAAACAUAAUUUCUUAAUAUCUGUUAAUGUAGGGAGAUGUAACUAUAGGUAUGAUUAAUUCCAGAUGACCAAUUUUCAGACCUUGACAUUUUAUUUACAUUAGCCAAAGGUUAUGAUGAGGUGCAGAUCUCUUUAAGUCCGACGUGUGCUAUGUGGGUUACAGCAUAUGGUAAUAAUUGGGAAUUACAUGGUGAUUUUCAUUAAUAAAAAACGAAUGAAGCGGUGCAGGAAAAGGUAAAGAAUUACUUUUCAGGACAGAGUUGGGUUUACAAAUAAAAGAAAAUGAAUUGGAAUCAAAGAAUGUGUGACAUGAAACGCCCUCCAUAAUAAAAAAAUCCCGUCAUCUGAAACUAUAAUAUCUGCAAUGCGGAA